rnacentral:rRNA from 1 species
UGGGGAAUAUUGCACAAUGGGCGCAAGCCUGAUGCAGCCAUGCCGCGUGUGUGAAGAAGGCCUUCGGGUUGUAAAGCACUUUCAGCGAGGAGGAAGGUGGUGAGCUUAAUACGCUCAUCAAUUGACGUUACUCGCAGAAGAAGCACCGGCUAACUCCGUGCCAGCAGCCGCGGUAAUACGGAGGGUGCAAGCGUUAAUCGGAAUUACUGGGCGUAAAGCGCACGCAGGCGGUUUGUUAAGUCAGAUGUGAAAUCCCCGGGCUCAACCUGGGAACUGCAUUUGAAACUGGCAAGCUAGAGUCUCGUAGAGGGGGGUAGAAUUCCAGGUGUAGCGGUGAAAUGCGUAGAGAUCUGGAGGAAUAUCCGGUGGCGAAGGCGGCCCCCUGGACGAAGACUGACGCUCAGGUGCGAAAGCGUGGGGCAGCAAACAGGAUUAGAUACCCUGGUAGUCCACGCUGUAAACGAUGUCGAUUUUGGAGGUUGUGCCCUUGAGGCGUGGCUUCCGGAGCUAACGCGUUAAAGUCGACCGCC